rnacentral:misc_RNA from 1 species
GAUGAAGAACGUAGCGAAAUGCGAUAAGUAAUGUGAAUUGCAGAAUUCAGUGAAUCAUCGAAUCUUUGAACGCACAUUGCGCCCGCCAGUAUUCUGGCGGGCAUGCCUGUUCGAGCGUCAUUUCAACCAUCAAGCCCCCGGCUUGUGUUGGGGACCUGCGGCUGCCGCAGGCCCUGAAAAGCAGUGGCGGGCUCGCUGUCACACCGAGCGUAGUAGCAUACAUCUCGCUCUGGGCGUGCUGCGGGUUCCGGCCGUUAAACCACCUUCAUAACCCAAGGUUGACCUCGGAUCAGGUAGGAAGACACGCUGAACUUAAGCAUAUCAAUAAGCGGAGGA